UACGAAGGGAGCUAGCGUUGUUCGGAAUCACUGGGCGUAAAGCGCACGUAGGCGGAUUUGUAAGUCAGGGGUGAAAUCCCGGGGCUCAACCUCGGAACUGCCUUUGAUACUGCAAAUCUCGAGUCCGAUAGAGGUGGGUGGAAUUCCUAGUGUAGAGGUGAAAUUCGUAGAUAUUAGGAAGAACACCGGUGGCGAAGGCGGCCCACUGGAUCGGUACUGACGCUGAGGUGCGAAAGCGUGGGGAGCGAACAGG
rnacentral:rRNA from 1 species